UAUACUGUUUGUCAUGUGAAUAGAUGAAUGUGUAACUGAAUGUUCUUUUCUAUUCAUGGUUGAUUCACUGUUGAACUGUACAUAUUUAGGACGCUGUCAACCAAAGGCGAGAGCAGCUACAUCUGUUGUAUGCAUACUUGCACUAUUGUUUUCCUUUGGACUGUGAUGUGAUGAAACCUGAUGUUAUUACUUCUCGUAUUUACAGGAAAUAGUACUAUAAUGUGCUUAUAGAGAGGACAACACCAAGCAAGAUGAGCUAUAUUGAAAGGUGUAUGUUGAGCUCUAAAGGCAAGCACGGCCCUGACACUGGCAGUCGGACAACUCGAGCGUGGCCUCCACUCUAGCGUGCAGUUCAUCGGAGCCGUCACGCAGAUAGGUGUGCUUGGUCUGCAGUGACGACCUUUGGGCCAACAACACAUGGACAUUUCAGAGAUAAACUAUUGCAUCAGGUAUAGUGUAUUGCGGACAAGCCAGACAUUAGUGUCUAGGUAUUGAUAGUUUGAGAUAGACAUGCCAAUAUGCAUCUUCAUUUAUACAGCAGCCCAUGCGUGUGGUAAUAUUUGAGAACAACAACUCUCAUAUUUUGUUUGCCCUUUUAGGCUAAAACAACAUAGUUUGGUUUGAGGUGCUCUCACAAGAUAUCAGGUCUCUCCCUCUCUCCAGUUGGCUAAUGGUGGUCAUGUGUAUGUUUUGGUAGACGAGAUGUAGAUUCCAGGAGCCUAUCAUAGUAUGUUUGCCUUUUUAUGCUAGAAUAGCAGAGUUUGGUGGCUAGGUUGGAUUGAAAUAUAAUUGCUUGGUAAAACUGAUGUCUAAAAGUAGUGCUUACUUCUUCUGCAAAGAAAAUGUUGUGCCACUUGCUCACCCAUGAGAACCAUCUUUAACUGGGACGGUGUCAAAAGAAAUUAUGUAACUGGGACACAAUAAAAUAAAUUGGUACAACUAUAUGGAUUCCUUGGUAAGCUCAUGAUUCAUCUGGCUAAGCAGUCUUAGUGGACCGCCAAUGUUGUGUUAUUAAGAUGCAGGUUUCAAUAGCCUUCAUGUUUGAGGCUAAAAUAAUGUAGUUAUCUCUGUAGUCUAGGGUAGAUUGAAAUAAUUGUUUAUCCUUGAAGCAAAUCAAGUAAACAACUGCCAGUAGAUGAUGAGGUGCCUUCUGCAAACAAAAAAACUAAGCUCUAAGCGAGUAUUUUUAGGCGACCUAUCUUUUUCGUUGAUUUGUUUAAUCCUUCCUCUGCUCAAUUGAUGUGAACCACAAACCUUGCUCUGCUAAAUUGAUGUGAACCACAAUCCUUGCUCUGCUCAAUUGAUCUUCCCAGCAAAUCAAUGAACAUGUGCCCACAGGGACACAGUCAAAGGUGCGCCUGUCAACUUAAUGGUUUUCAUCCAUAGUGCUUUGCCAUUAUUUUUAUUUUUAUUGUUUUUCUCAUUUGCCACUGUUGCCCAUUCUUUCUGGGACCAGUAUAUACAUCAUGAUUUUAUUUUUAUGUAAUUUUUAUUUAUACUUGAAGCAAGGUAUCUGAAAACCUGAUGGGAAAUGAGGAGGUGCCCUUUGCAAGUAAAAAGACUAAGUUGGAGACCAAGUGCCUUUAGGCAACGCGCCCUUUUGGAUCGUAGCGUAUCAGUUGCCGAUGUGCAGAAAAUGCUGAUUUAGCGGAUGGAUGGCCUUUUCCAUCUGGGAUCGCUUUUGUUGCGACCUGUCGCUUAUAAUAGAGUGAUCUGUUUUGCUGAUCCUGGCCAAGUGGAAUGUACUGUCUGUCAAUGUCCAAAUGCUGCAGUCAGUAGUUAGUGUGACAUGGAUCUUUGACUAAUGUAUCCCAUCAGUUUAGCCGUGUGUUGCUAGCUGAUGUGAAAGUAUGUGUGAUUACCAUACUUAUUAUGAUUAUGGAUGUUGCUACACGUUUCAUUAGCUAAAUUUUACCUAUGCA